AUUUCGGUGGUGUUGAAAGCAAGGGACCCUAGAUUGAAUAAGAAACUGUCCAUAACUGAUUUUGUCUUGGCUUUUGGUAUAUAUCGUGAUGUAAUUUGUUCUGUUUAUCCGCAUAGACGAGAGGAACUCGACCUCUACAUGCACAAGCUGGUGGACUUGGGAAGCAAAUAUGGUGGGUGAUCCUUUUAUGACUCUCACCAAUCUUUUUCGGCAAGAGCGUCUGCAAUAUUGGCUCAGUAUAAAGUCAAAACUGACUGGAGCCGCAUGGAUACUGAGCUAUUUUGUAGACAUUUUGCCGGUCUCAAGACACCAGCUUGUGCUUCAACAUCACAUUCCUCGGACUAUUGUCCCACUAUGCCAGCGUCCACACCUGGGACUUUCCGUGAACCACAGACCAGG